rnacentral:rRNA from 1 species
CACGAACGCUGGCGGCAGGCUUAACACAUGCAAGUCGAGCGCCCCGCAAGGGGAGCGGCAGACGGGUGAGUAACGCGUGGGAAUCUACCCAUCUCUACGGAAUAACGCAUGGAAACGUGUGCUAAUACCGUAUACGUCCUUCGGGAGAAAGAUUUAUCGGAGAUGGAUGAGCCCGCGUUGGAUUAGCUAGUUGGUGGGGUAAAGGCCUACCAAGGCGACGAUCCAUAGCUGGUCUGAGAGGAUGAUCAGCCACACUGGGACUGAGACACGGCCCAGACGCCUACGGGGGGCAGCAGGGGGGAAUAUUGGACAAUGGGCGCAAGCCUGAUCCAGCCAUGCCGCGUGAGUGAUGAAGGCCCUAGGGUUGUAAAGCUCUUUCACCGGUGAAGAUAAUGACGGUAACCGGAGAAGAAGCCCCGGCUAACUUCGUGCCAGCAGCCGCAGUAAAAC